rnacentral:rRNA from 1 species
CCUACGGGAGGCAGCAGUGGGGAAUAUUGGACAAUGGGCGAAAGCCUGAUCCAGCCAUGCCGCGUGUGUGAAGAAGGCCUUCGGGUUGUAAAGCACUUUCAGUGGGGAAGAAAGCCUUGGGGCUAAUACCCUCGAGGAAGGACAUCACCCACAGAAGAAGCACCGGCUAACUCCGUGCCAGCAGCCGCGGUAAUACGGAGGGUGCGAGCGUUAAUCGGAAUUACUGGGCGUAAAGCGCACGUAGGCGGUCUGAUAAGCCGGAUGUGAAAGCCCCGGGCUUAACCUGGGAACGGCAUCCGGAACUGUCAGGCUUGAGUGCAGGAGAGGAAGGUAGAAUUCCCGGUGUAGCGGUGAAAUGCGUAGAGAUCGGGAGGAAUACCAGUGGCGAAGGCGGCCCUCUGGACUGACACUGACGCUGAGGUGCGAAAGCGUGGGUAGCAAACAGGAUUAGAUACCCUAGUAGUC